rnacentral:rRNA from 1 species
GACGAACGCUGGCGGCGUGCUUAACACAUGCCAGUCGAACGGAAAGGCCCUGCUUUUGUGGGGUGCUCGAGUGGCGAACGGGUGAGUAACACGUGAGUAACCUGCCCUUGACUUUGGGAUAACUUCAGGAAACUGGGGCUAAUACCGGAUAGGAGCUCCUGCUGCAUGGUGGGGGUUGGAAAGUUUCGGCGGUUGGGGAUGGACUCGCGGCUUAUCAGCUUGUUGGUGGGGUAGUGGCUUACCGAGGCUUUGACGGGUAGCCGGCCUGAGAGGGUGACCGGCCACAUUGGGACUGAGAUACGGCCCAGACUCCUACGGGAGGCAGCAGUGGGGAAUAUUGCACAAUGGGCGGAAGCCUGAUGCAGCAACGCCGCGUGCGGGAUGACGGCCUUCGGGUUGUAAACCGCUUUCGCCUGUGACGAAGCGUGAGUGACGGUAAUGGGUAAAGAAGCACCGGCUAACCACGUG